rnacentral:rRNA from 1 species
GGAACAGGACGUCACAGAGGGUGAGAAUCCCGUGCUUGGCUGGCUGUCCCCGUCCAUGUGAGGUGUCUUCGACGAGUCGAGUUGUUUGGGAAUGCAGCUCAAAAUGGGUGGUAAAUUUCAUCUAAAGCUAAAUAUUGGUGGGAGACCGAUAGCGCACAAGUAGAGUGAUCGAAAGAUGAAAAGCACUUUGAAAAUAGAGUUAAAAAGUACGUGAAAUUGUUGAAAGGGAAGCGCUUGAGACCAGACUUCGGUAAGGGGUGAUCAGCCGUCCUUUUGGGCGGUGCACUUGCCCCCCUCCGGGCCAGCAUCGGUUGAGGCGGCGGGAUAAAGGUCCCGGGAAUGUGGCUCCUUCACGGGAGUGUUAUAGCCCGGGUGAAUGCCGCCAGCUUCGACCGAGGACCGCACCCGCAAGGGUUAGGAUGCUUGGCAUAAUGGUCUUCAGCGAC